ACGCGUGACCGGAAACCUUAAUAUGUUAGUCGAACGGCAGCACGGGUGCUUGCACCUGGUGGCGAGUGGCGAACGGGUGAGUAAUACAUCGGAACAUGUCCUGUAGUGGGGGAUAGCCCGGCGAAAGCCGGAUUAAUACCGCAUACGAUCUACGGAUGAAAGCGGGGGACCUUCGGGCCUCGCGCUAUAGGGUUGGCCGAUGGCUGAUUAGCUAGUUGGUGGGGUAAAGGCCUACCAAGGCGACGAUCAGUAGCUGGUCUGAGAGGACGACCAGCCACACUGGGACUGAGACACGGCCCAGACUCCUACGGGAGGCAGCAGUGGGGAAUUUUGGACAAUGGGCGAAAGCCUGAUCCAGCAAUGCCGCGUGUGUGAAGAAGGCCUUCGGGUUGUAAAGCACUUUUGUCCGGAAAGAAAUCCUUGGCUCUAAUACAGUCGGGGGAUGACGGUACCGGAAGAAUAAGCACCGGCUAACUACGUGCCAGCAGCCGCGGUAAUACGUAGGGUGCGAGCGUUAAUCGGAAUUACUGGGCGUAAAGCGUGCGCAGGCGGUUUGCUAAGACCGAUGUGAAAUCCCCGGGCUCAACCUGGGAACUGCAUUGGUGAAUGGCAGGUUUGAGUGCGGCAGAGGGGGGGAUGAAUUCUCCCCUGAAGCAAUUAAAAUGCGUUGAGGGUGUGGAGGAAUCCCGAUGCGAAGCCAGCCCCCUGGGCCAAUACUGACGCUCAUGCACGAAAGCGUGGGGAGCAAAACAGGAUUAGAUAUCCUGGUAGUCCACGCCCCUAAACGAUGUCAACUAGUUGUUGGGGAUUCAUUUCCUUAGUAACGUAGCUAACGCGUGAAGUUGACCGCCUGGGGAGUACGGUCGCAAGAUUAAAACUCAAAGGAAUUGACGGGGACCCGCACAAGCGGUGGAUGAUGUGGAUUAAUUCGAUGCAACGCGAAAAACCUUACCUACCCUUGACAUGGUCGGAAUCCUGCUGAGAGGUGGGAGUGCUCGAAAGAGAACCGGCGCACAGGUGCUGCAUGGCUGUCGUCAGCUCGUGUCGUGAGAUGUUGGGUUAAGUCCCGCAACGAGCGCAACCCUUGUCCUUAGUUGCUACGCAAGAGCACUCUAAGGAGACUGCCGGUGACAAACCGGAGGAAGGUGGGGAUGACGUCAAGUCCUCAUGGCCCUUAUGGGUAGGGCUUCACACGUCAUACAAUGGUCGGAACAGAGGGUUGCCAACCCGCGAGGGGGAGCUAAUCCCAGAAAACCGAUCGUAGUCCGGAUUGCACUCUGCAACUCGAGUGCAUGAAGCUGGAAUCGCUAGUAAUCGCGGAUCAGCAUGCCGCGGUGAAUACGUUCCCGGGUCUUGUACACACCGCCCGUCACACCAUGGGAGUGGGUUUUACCAGAAGUGGCUAGUCUAACCGCAAGGAGGACAGCCAAACACUAGUUGGAACGGUUU
rnacentral:rRNA from 1 species